CUUCCGUAGGGUGAACCUGCGGAAGGAUCAUUAAAGAUUGACCGAAAGGUCUUAUCUCUAUAUCCCUCACCUCUGUGAACUGUGGACCUCCGGGUCUAUUUAACAAACAUCAGUGUAAUGAACGUAUAUAUCAUUAAACAAAACAAAACUUUCAACAACGGAUCUCUUGGCUCUCGCAUCGAUGAAGAACGCAGCGAAAUGCGAUAAGUAAUGUGAAUUGCAGAAUUCAGUGAAUCAUCGAAUCUUUGAACGCACCUUGCGCCUUUUGGUAUUCCGAAAGGCAUGCCUGUUUGAGUGUCAUGAAAUCUCAAUCCCCCUGGGUUUAUGAUCUGGGUCGGACUUGGAUAUGGGCGUCUGCCGGUCACACGGCUCGCCUCAAAUGACUUAGUGGAUCUCUCUGCAUCCGUGACAGACGUAAUAAGUUUCGUCUUGUCCCUUGCUUAUGAGUCUGCUCAUAACCUGCCAUCGCGCACUUUUAGACUCUGACCUCAAAUCAGGUAGGACUACCCGCUGAACUUAAGCAUAUCAAUAAGCGGAGGAA
rnacentral:rRNA from 1 species